rnacentral:tRNA from 1 species
GGGCGAUUAGCUCAGAUGGCAAGAGCGCAUGCUUGACAUGCAUGAGGUCGCAGGUUCAAGUCCUGCAUCGCCCACCA